rnacentral:rRNA from 1 species
CCUACGGGAGGCUGCAGUGGGGAAUAUUGGACAAUGGGGGGAACCCUGAUCCAGCCAUGCCGCGUGUGUGAAGAAGGCCCUCGGGUUGUAAAGCACUUUCAGUGAGGAAGAACGCCUGGUGGUUAAUACCCAUCAGGAAAGACAUCACUCACAGAAGAAGCACCGGCUAACUCCGUGCCAGCAGCCGCGGUAAUACGGAGGGUGCGAGCGUUAAUCGGAAUUACUGGGCGUAAAGCGCGCGUAGGUGGCUUGAUAAGCCGGGUGUGAAAGCCCCGGGCUCAACCUGGGAACGGCAUCCGGAACUGUCAAGCUAGAGUGCAGGAGAGGAAGGUAGAAUUCCCGGUGUAGCGGUGAAAUGCGUAGAGUUCGGGAGGAAUCCCAGUGGCGAAGGCGGCCUUCUGGACUGACACUGACACUGAGGUGCGAAAGCGUGGGUAGCAAACAGGAUUAGAUACCCGUGUAGUC